rnacentral:pre_miRNA from 1 species
UUACUACUCCCUCCGUCUCAAAAUUCUUGUCUUAAAUUUGUCUAAAUACGGAUGUAUCAAGUCAUAUUUUAGUAUUAUAUACAUCCGUAUCUAGAAAAAUGUAAGACAAGAAUUUUGGAACGGAGGGAGUAUAUU